rnacentral:rRNA from 1 species
AGUGAACGCUGGCGGUAGGCCUAACACAUGCAAGUCGAACGGCAGCACAGUAAGAGCUUGCUCUUACGGGUGGCGAGUGGCGGACGGGUGAGGAAUACAUCGGAAUCUACUUUUUCGUGGGGGAUAACGUAGGGAAACUUACGCUAAUACCGCAUACGACCUACGGGUGAAAGCAGGGGAUCUUCGGACCUUGCGCGAUUGAAUGAGCCGAUGUCGGAUUAGCUAGUUGGCGGGGUAAAGGCCCACCAAGGCGACGAUCCGUAGCUGGUCUGAGAGGAUGAUCAGCCACACUGGAACUGAGACACGGUCCAGACUCCUACGGGAGGCAGCAGUGGGGAAUCUUGGACACUGAGCGCACGCCUAUUCCGGCCCUACCGCGUGGGUGAAGAAGGCCUUCGGGUUGUAAAGCCCUUUUGUUGGGAAAGAAAAGCAGCAGGUUAAUACCCCGCUGUUCUGACGGUACCCACUGAAUCAGCACCGGCUCACUUCGUG